UCAGGCUCCAGGAUGCAAGAGAUACAGGAAGCUAUGAGCAGCCGAAUAUAGUUCCUGGGAGCUCCGGGUCUCUGCAAGAGCAGUAUGUGCUCUUGACCUCUGAGCUAUCUCUCAAGACCCAGCUUCCGGCAACUUUGAGAUUGUGCCUUCCAAUCCCAAGUUUUCCUUAGGCACGAGCCUUGCCUCUACCUCUAGCCUUCCUCCAAAUCCCUUAAUGAUUUGUUUGCCGACACUCUAGAAGAAUAUUUGUGCAGCUUUACGAUGACAUCUCAAUUUCCUCACAAUGCCUUUCGAUGUCACAGAGGACCUGCCGCCUGGCAGUCUGUGUAGUACUCUUGUUUGCGAACAGAUUACGUUGUUCAGCUGUGGGAAGUGUCUGCUGAAUAACCUAGACAGCAUGGCAGUGAUGCUGUCAACCCAAUUAGCCAAGCCAGGCUCAUUCUCCUCAGAGAUAUUGGAGUUUCGUCUUUCAACUCAAAUCGGUGUGAUGCUAUGUGUUCCCCUGGAGAGCAGAAUGGGUGGAGGAGCUUUGCUUCAGAAUUGUUCCUCACAGGCAGAUGAAUGGAUGAGUAGGAAACAACAACAGCAACAAGAAAAAACCCAACAGUGGGUCCACAGAACAUCGCCUGCCCUUCUCCGGUGUGAAUAACACCGGCCUGUAGACAAAGUUCUUUGAGGAGAACCGGUAUUCAUAAACCUGAAAAAAAAACUUUAAAAAAAGAUAUUCUAAUAUUUAUUUACUUAUUUAUGUAAGUAAUGAAAAGAGGGGGGGGGAGGAAAAAACACCAAGUGUUUCACCUGGCGUGUGUUUGUGGUGACUCAUUUCGAGAAUAUUCUGAGGGGAAAACCCACCUCCCUUCUAUCUCUAGGAAAUUCCCUUUCCGUGGGAAUGCACACCCCAGAAUGCCAUGCUCACAGGUCUGGGGACCCAGGGGCUAGGGAAGUUGUGUGUCUGUCUCUCCCUAUUUUAGAAGCUACAAGCCCCAAGGCAAGCCAGAGCUCUCUCUCUCUGAUCAGGGCGUAUUUUUCAAUCAGAGCAAUUUUAUGGAGGGGGCUUAACUGACUUCCUACGUUCCUGUUGCUGCCUUAAUUUCUUUGCUUGCACAGAAACCCCUACAGGGGAGCUGUAAAGAAAACAGAAUAAAUAAAGGAGGAAGAAACUACUUCUCUUCUCUUUCCUCCCUAAAGCCCCUCGUAAACAUCCCACCCUGUGUCACACAACGUAUGGCCAGCGCUAAGCCUUGGCAGUAUUUUGACGCGAUGCACGGGCCUUUUCUCCUCUUCUGUUCCUUUGAGGUUCAUCUUGCAGCCCAGGACUCUGUUCCCCUGCCAACUUGGUGGGAGUGUUUAGUGACUGGAAGGCUGUGGCCCGCUCUCCCCACAACUUCACACUUCAUUUUUCCAUAUCCCUGGGAGCAGCAGCAAAUAUUUCACCAGCCUGGUUUGCUGGCUACUGCCAUAAAUCAGACUUAGGCCUCAAAAAAAUAUCCAGGCCUGUCAAGGCCUUAAGCUUUAUUUUCUGAUUCCAUCCAGCGGUAAGUGAGAGCUUGUAUUCUCCUUUAAAACUGUAAAGGGAUUUUUAAGGAUUG
rnacentral:lncRNA from 1 species